AGGGAAUCUUCCGCAAUGGGCGAAAGCCUGACGGAGCAAUGCCGCGUGAGUGAUGAAGGUUUUCGGAUCGUAAAGCUCUGUUGCCAGGGAAGAACGCUUGGGAGAGUAACUGCUCUCAAGGUGACGGUACCUGAGAAGAAAGCCCCGGCUAACUACGUGCCAGCAGCCGCGGUAAUACGUAGGGGGCAAGCGUUGUCCGGAAUUAUUGGGCGUAAAGCGCGCGCAGGCGGUCAUUUAAGUCUGGUGUUUAAUCCCGGGGCUCAACCCCGGAUCGCACUGGAAACUGAGUGACUUGAGUGCAGAAGAGGAGAGUGGAAUUCCACGUGUAGCGGUGAAAUGCGUAGAUAUGUGGAGGAACACCAGUGGCGAAGGCGACUCUCUGGGCUGUAACUGACGCUGAGGCGCGAAAGCGUGGGGAGCAAAC
rnacentral:rRNA from 1 species